rnacentral:rRNA from 1 species
UUUGGUUAAGUUAGAAAGGGCGCACGGUGGAUGCCUUGACACUAGGAGUCGAUGAAGGACGGGACUAACGCCGAUAUGCUUCGGGGAGCUGUAAGUAAGCUUUGAUCCGAAGAUUUCCGAAUGGGGAAACCC